GUCCCGAAUUUAUAAGAGCUAGUUAUAUUAUUGUAAUAAAUACUUAAAAUACGGAGUGAAACGCUAAUAUAUCUGGUUUUUUAAGAAAGUUUAAUUUGUUUAUAUUUUAAGGGAUGAGCUUUAAAUAGAAUUAAAAGUUUUGUUAUAAUUAUUCUAUUAAAAUUUGAUUAACAAUUAUUUCAGUAAUUAUGAUAAAAUUAGUAAAAGGUUGGCCAAAGGAACUCGGCAAAUAUUUUUCACCUGUUUAUUAAAAACAUGGCCUGUUGAUAAUAAUUUUAGGUCUCGCCUGCCCACUGAGGCCGCGGUAUCUUGACCGUGCAAAGGUAGCAUAAUAAAUAGUUUCUUAAUUGGAAGCUGGUAUGAACGGUAGUAUGAGAAAAUCACUGUCUCUGGUAAAUUGAAUUUUAUUUUUAAGUUAAAAAGCUUAAAUAACAUUAAAAGACGAGAAGACCCUGUAGAAUUUUAUUUUGGUUGGGGUGAUCGAAAAAUUUAAUUAACUUUUGAUUAUAAGAUAAAAUUACCUCAGGGAUAACAGCGUAAUCUUUUUAAGAGUUCUAAUCGAUAAAAGGGUUUGCGACCUCGAUGUUGGAUUAAAAUUAAUCUUGGCGCAGAAGCU
rnacentral:rRNA from 1 species